rnacentral:rRNA from 1 species
CACGUAUUUAGCCGGGGCUUCUUGGUCAGGUACCGUCAAUGUCUUCCCUGCUGGCAGAGCUUUACAUACCGAAGUACUCCAUCGCUCACGCGGCGUCGCUGCAUCAGGGUUGCCCCCAUUGUGCAAUAUCCCCCACUGCUGCCUCCCGUAGGAGUCUGGGCCGUGUCUCAGUCCCAAUGUGGCCGCCCACCCUCUCAGGCCGGCUACUGAUCGUCGCCUUGGUGGGCCGUUACCCCGCCAACAAGCUAAUCAGACGCGGACCCAUCCCGCACCGCCUGGGCUUUCCGCACAGCCCCAUGCGGGGCCGUGCGCAUAUGCGGUAUUAGCAGCCGUUUCCGGCUGUUGUCCCCCAGUGCGGGGUAGGUUGUCCACGCGUUACUCACCCGUCCGCCACUCAGUCACGAGGGGCUUCCUUUCCGAAGAAUUCCGCCCCAGCGCUUCGUUCGACUUGCAUGUGUUAGGCACGCCGCAGCGUCAUCCUGACGCAGGAU